rnacentral:rRNA from 1 species
AGAGUUUGAUCCUGGCUCAGGAUGAACGCUAGCGGCAGGCUUAACACAUGCAAGUCGAGGGGCAUCGGGAGGGAAGCUUGCUUUCCUUGCCGGCGACCGGCGCACGGGUGAGUAACACGUAUGCAACCUGCCCUCUUCAGGGGGACAGCCUUCCGAAAGGGAGGCUAAUCCCGCGUAUAUCGGUUUCGGGCAUCCGAGAUCGAGGAAAGAUUCAUCGGAAGAGGAUGGGCAUGCGGCGCAUUAGCUUGACGGCGGGGUAACGGCCCACCGUGGCGACGAUGCGUAGGGGUUCUGAGAGGAAGGUCCCCCACACUGGUACUGAGACUACGGACCAGACUCCUACGGGAGGCAGCAGUGAGGAAUAUUGGUCAAUGGGAGAGAUCCUGAACCAGCCAAGCCGCGUGAGGGAAGACGGCCCUAUGGGUUGUAAACCUCUUUUGUCGGAGAACAAAACCCGGGACGUGUCCCGGACUGCGUGUAUCCGAAGAAAAAGCAUCGGCUAACUCCGUG